rnacentral:tRNA from 1 species
GGGGAUGUAGCUCAGUUGGCUAGAGUGCUUGACUGGCAGUCAAGAGGUCGUGGGUUCGAAUCCCAUCAGCUCCA